CACGUAGGGCGCAAGCGUUGUCCGGAAUUAUUGGGCGUAAAGAGCUCGUAGGCGGUCUGUUGCGUCCGCUGUGAAAACUCGGGGCUUAACCCCGAGCCUGCAGUGGAUACGGGCAGACUAGAGGUAGGUAGGGGAGAAUGGAAUUCCCGGUGUAGCGGUGAAAUGCGCAGAGAUCCGGAGGAACACCAAAGGCGAAGGCAGUGUCCUGGGGAGUACCUGACGCUCAGGUGCGAAAGCCAGGGGAGCGAACGGG
rnacentral:rRNA from 1 species